UUUCCAGAGAUGGAUUGGUGGCCUUUCGGGAACUCUGAGACAGGUGCUGCAUGGCUGUCGUCAGCUCGUGUUGUGAAAUGUUGGGUUAAGUCCCGCAACGAGCGCAACCCUUAUCCUUUGUUGCCAGCGGUUAGGCCGGGAACUCAAAGGAGACUGCCAGUGAUAAACUGGAGGAAGGUGGGGAUGACGUCAAGUCAUCAUGGCCCUUACGAGUAGGGCUACACACGUGCUACAAUGGCGCAUACAAAGAGAAGCGACCUCGCGAGAGCAAGCGGACCUCAUAAAGUGCGUCGUAGUCCGGAUUGGAGUCUGCAACUCGACUCCAUGAAGUCGGAAUCGCUAGUAAUCGUGGAUCAGAAUGCCACGGUGAAUACGUUCCCGGGCCUUGUACACACCGCCCGUCACACCAUGGGAGUGGGUUGCAAAAGAAGUAGGUAGCUUAACCUUCGGGAGGGCGCUUACCACCUUGUGAUUCAUGACUGGGGUGAAGUCGUAACAAGGUAAGCGUAGUGCU
rnacentral:rRNA from 1 species